rnacentral:ncRNA from 1 species
GACACUAGCGCUUACGCUAGGCCAAGGAUUAGGGUCAUUAUAUGAGCCUAAGUGGGAAAAAAAUAAAGGAAUUGACGGAAGGGCAGCCACCAGGAGUGGAGAGCCUGCGGCUUAAUUUGACUCAACACGGGGGAAAAACUCACCCGGCCCCGCGCUGACACUGUUAGGAUUUGACAGAUUGAGAGCAAGUUCUUUCUUGAUUCGGUUGGGUGUGGUGCAUGGCCGUUCUUAGUUGGUGGAGCGAUUUGUCUGGUUGUUAAUUCCGAUAACGAACGAGACUUCUAGCCUGCUAAAUUAGUACGCCGAUACCUUUUCGGUCGGUGCGCUGACUUUCUUUAGAGGGACAAGCGUCUUGAAGACGCACGAGAUUGAGCAAUAACAGGGUCUGUGAUGCCCUGUAGAUGUUCGGGGGCCGCACGCGCGGCGCUACACUGAAGGGAGCCAGCGAGUUUUUUCCUGGUUUUCGAAAGAACCGGGUAAUAAUCUGUUGAAUUCCCUUUCGUGACAGGGAUCGCGGGGCUUGCAAUUAUUCCCCGUGAACGCGAGGACAUUCCCAGCAGUAAGCCGCAAGUCAUCAGCUUGCGUUGAUUACUACGGUCCCUGUACCACCUUUGUACACACGCCCUCGUCGUACUACCGAUUGAAUGGUGGUUUUUAAGCACAGAUGGUCCUUCGGAUUCUGGUGUUGCCGACUUGGUGGCAACACUAGGUCGGAUACUUACUGAAAAGAAGAUCAAACUUGAUCAUUUAGAGGAAGUAAAAAGUCGUAACAAGCUGUUUUCCGUAGGCUGAACCUGCGGAAGGAUCAUUA